AUCGUAUCCAUUUGACACAGUCCAUCGAAGAAUGAUGAUGCAGUCUGGCAGAAAAGGAGCUGAUAUCAUGUAUUCUGGAACAAUUGACUGCUGAAAAAAGAUUGCGAGAGAUGAAGGUUCCAAGGCUUUCUUCAAGGGUGCCUGGUCUAAUGUCCUCAGAGGAAUGGGUGGUUCUUUUGUGCUAGUCUUGUACGAUGAGAUGAAGAAAUGCAUCAAAACUUGACCUUGUCGAG